GACGAACGCUGGCGGCGUGCUUAACACAUGCAAGUCGAACGGUGAACCUCUUCGGAGGGGAUCAGUGGCGAACGGGUGAGUAACACGUGGGCAACCUGCCCCCGGCUCUGGGAUAACUCCAAGAAAUUGGGGCUAAUACCGGAUGUUCACCGCUUCCCGCAUGGGUGGUGGUGGAAAGGGUUUCCGGCUGGGGAUGGGCCCGCGGCCUAUCAGCUUGUUGGUGGGGUAGUGGCCUACCAAGGCGACGACGGGUAGCCGGCCUGAGAGGGUGACCGGCCACACUGGGACUGAGACACGGCCCAGACUCCUACGGGAGGCAGCAGUGGGGAAUAUUGCGCAAUGGGCGGAAGCCUGACGCAGCGACGCCGCGUGGGGGAUGACGGCCUUCGGGUUGUAAACCUCUUUCAGCAGGGACGAAGCGAAAGUGACGGUACCUGUAGAAGAAGCACCGGCCAACUACGUG
rnacentral:rRNA from 1 species